AUUGAACGCUGGCGGCAUGCCUUACACAUGCAAGUCGAACGGCAGCACGGGAGCAAUCCUGGUUGCGAGUGGCGAACGGGUGAGUAAUACAUCGGAACGUGCCCAAUCGUGGGGGAUAACGCAGCGAAAGCUGUGCUAAUACCGCAUACGAUCUACGGAUGAAAGCAGGGGACCGCAAGGCCUUGCGCGAAUGGAGCGGCCGAUGGCAGAUUAGGUAGUUGGUGGGGUAAAGGCUCACCAAGCCAACGAUCGGUAGCUGGUCUGAGAGGACGACCAGCCACACUGGGACUGAGACACGGCCCAGCCUCCUCCGGGAGGCAGCAGUGGGGAAUUUUGGACAAUGAGCGCAAGCCUGAUCCAGCCAUGCCGCGUGGAGGAUGAGGGCCUUCGGGUUGUAAGCUGCUUUUGUACGGAACGAAACGGCCUUUUCUAAUAAAGAGGGGUAAUGACGGUACCGGAAGAAUAAGCACCGGCUAACUACGUG
rnacentral:rRNA from 1 species